ACUUGAAACCUUGGGGACUCCAAAACGAAGAAAAGCGAGAGAAUGGCCUCGAAACCCGGUUCAGCUCCGACGACGUACUCUCCGACCCUGGCCCGUAAAUCACGACUGCCCAUUUUCAAAGACUCCGAUGUCGAUUGGGUCCGUCCUGAUGGCCGAGGCUUCCACCAGUGCCGACCCGCCUUUUUUUAGGACUGGUGCUGUAAAUGCUGCUGCAGGAUCAGCUUAUGCUGAGUUUGGAAAUACAAAAGUCGUCGUGUCUGUUUUUGGUCCCAGAGAAAGUAAGAAAGCAAUGAUGUA
rnacentral:misc_RNA from 1 species